GGUGAUGUAGCUCAAGUGGCAGAGCAACGCUUUCAUACGGCGUAAGAUCCGAUUUCGAGUAUCGGUGUCACCU
rnacentral:tRNA from 3 species